GCGGCCAUCUUGGCCCCACAGGGCGCGCCGGGAUCGUUGCCAUGGGAACCGGGCGCCCCCGGAGCGGAGCCUCUCCCGCGCCGGGCACGUGUCCCAGCGCGCUUCCCCCCCCUUCAGGGGAAGAGGAAAGAGACCCUAGGCGAGAAGCCGGGGCGCUGCAGUCACAUGACUCCAGGAGCUGGGGCUUGGGAAGCUCGAGGUAGCGCCCCGCGCCCCGAUCGCCCCAGGCCGGGCUCGCUGCGGAGUGCAGGCGGGCUAUCUGCAGACAUCCUGUUAUAGCUCUGAGGUGGGAUCUUCCCUAUUCAUCGGAAAGUGUGGUUAACUCUUAAGCCUCAUGAUGCCACUUUAAGGACCAGAUUUUCAAAUGAAGAGACCAGCCCUCUGGGAAACAAGGUGAACUAGGAUCAUCCUACUGGCGACUCUCCAGGAACAGCAUCAUGCCACACCAGCAGGAACCUGACAGAAGUAAAUCUUCGAGCUGCAAGGCAGGAACUGAUCACCACAUGGGGUCAAAAGGACCAAUCCUCCCCCAUCUCCUCACAGGGUGGAGAGAAGACAUCUGAUGGAGCCAUCACUGCUGGCCAGCCAUGUUAUACCUCCUGAAGCUUCCCAAUUCAGCCUUCUUCUG